ACAGUAUUUUCCCUCCUCCCGACAUAUUUCAAGGUCUUCACAGGCCGGACGUCUCGGAUUUAGAGGUUCCGAUUCCGGCCUCGAGGGGCCCGACUGUGUCCCUCCCUCCCCAAGUCCAAGGCGAUGCCUCCACCCGCAGAAACCUUUCAGCUGCCUGAAAUUCGAGUCAUUAAACUGUUCCCUGAGUACCCGAGUCUGUGAGAGAAGUAUCAGCUCAAUCCCAACAGAGGGCUCUCCCAUGAAGUGUUGGACCAGUACUCCUCAAAAUCAUCGAGCUCCUCAAAAACACAAAAAGUCUGAGAAAUUGCCACAGCCAAGAGCAGCCAGAGGAGACAUGACAACUUAACACAGUAUAGAACAGAAAAAGACAUAAGAAGCCUCCAAAAACUGACCCAGGCCUCUCUUGAAAUCUGAGAGGUUAUGCUUCCCACUCAACAAUGCCCCCAGAGUGGAGACCAGGUAAUGAGGGAAGCUACAUUUAUUCAUUAGUUGAAUAAAUUGGUAUCAUCUUGCUAAUUUCUGUGUGCCACCAUCCAGAUAGGGAACUGUCAGGAGAACACUAGGGAGGCGCCAAAUGCCAGAUAUCCUCAUGGUGGUAGAUGGCUCAAGCCGCCUCAUCAGUCCAUUUGUUCAACAUUCUCUGCAGAAACCCUCCAUGGAAAUAUGGCCCUGAAAGAUCUUGCCAUCAAUCCAUAUGGGACAUAAUAGAAUUUGGGGAUUCAUAACUUCCUAGAAUGUCUGCUAUUUCAUGGCACAACUCUGAUAGAACCAUAGAUCUCAGCAGGGUAGUAACUCUAGGUGUCUAGAAAAGAACAGUUGACUGGACCCCAUAAUUCUAUGUGUGUGUCUUCAUUAUCUGGAUAUGACCCCCAUAGUCUAAACUGUCCUUAAUGUUCAACCUUCAAGUUCUACAAUUGAAAAAGGUCCAGAGGGGAAAAUGAUUUACAAAAAUGAUCCCUCAAAUUAGUGACAGAGUUGAUUCCCAUCAACCAGUCCACCCUGAAUCAUCUCUUUUGCCAUAGUAUCCAUUUUGGUAAACUGAAGACUGCUAUUAAUUGAUGUAUAUUGUUUCAGAAAUGCCUCAUUAAUUUCUAACUGUCAAUUAUCCAUAUUGUCUAGUUCUGAAGCUGCACUCAAGUUUUAAGUGUCUCUUCCUUCUUCACUUCACCUUUCCCCACCCCUACCAAUAUUAAGGGCGGGGGGUUAAGGGAAGACAGUGUAGCACAGAGAAGACAAGUAUUGACUCUUUGGCAUCUUACUACACUGAUGGACAGUGACUUCAGUGGGGCAUGUGGGGGGGGACUCGAUAAUAUGGAUGAAUGUAGUAACCACAAUGUUUUUCAUGUGAAACCUUCAUAAGAGUAUAUAUCAAUGAUACAUUAAUAAAAAUAUUUUUAAAAAGAACUUUAAGCCAAUACUUAUAGUUACUAUGGAAACUGAUAUGUGAAUAAUUCUUGAUGAAAUGAAGUGACGGAAUACUAUCAUAAUAUGUACUGGUUAUCAUGACUCUUUCAGUGACCUAUUUGCUCACAUAUCUCCAGAAACAUAAAUGCAGCCAUGCCCUUUGACUCAGUAAUUCUACUUCUAGGAAUCUAUUUUCAAGGCACAAUUCAACAAUCAAGGGGAAAAAAAAAAUCUUUGAAUGAAUAUAUGUGCCCAAGCAUUAUAUCUAACAACAAAAACAACCUACAUGCCCCAUCAUGACUAUGUUGGAGAAAAGGAUAUUGGAUGGAGGGUGGUUAAGUAAAUUAUAAUACAAGUAAUUUUUUAAAAAUUAGAAUUGGAAAAUACUUAUGGUAACAGGUAAAGAAGUAUAUGUAUGCAUAUGUAAUGUAUGUAUAUAGUAUAUUCACACCUAUGUUUAUAAUACUUAUAGAAAAUAGGCUAGAUAUAAGAAUGCACAGUUAACCAAAAAAUAUUUACAGUGAUUGCUUUAGAGUAGUAGAAUUAUGAAUGCUUUUUCCCUCCUUUAUCCUUUUCUUGCAAAUUGUGUAAUGCUUAUAUAUUAGUUUGAUAUCUAUCUAUGUAACAAGCACAUAUUCAAGACACAGAAAAGCUCUAGGUGAAGUCUUUUAAAUGCAAACAGUCCCCUAAAUCACGGUUUUGAAUGUUUGACCUAAAGUUGAUGCUGCCCACAUCUUUAGGGUCUAUAGCAAAAGUGAAAACUGGCCACUCACUCUUAGAGAAGACCUUUCACUCUGUGAGACACUUUACCAACAAAACAUUACCCUUUCUGAGCACAACCACCAUAAUGAGAUUAGGUAGGUCCUGUAAAUCUUUGAACUGUCUCCACCCACUUGCUCUUAGUGUGGUUAUCUUGUUUGUUGCUGUUUCGUAGCAUUUGCAAAUGUCAAAGGGUUUCCUUGUUACUUUGCUGUCUGUGAGACCACCCAGGAGCCUUCCUGGUAGAUAGACUUCCUUGGGAUCCUUCUGGGGCUACUGAUUUAUUUUUGAUUCUUACAACAUGUAUAGCUAGUAAAUGCUAAGAAAAAAGAUUUUAAUAAACUGUAUCAGUCUUUCUGUCUUUACAACAUCAUAAUGCUGUGAUCAGCUUUUGGGGACAUACCAUUAUUUGAAUCACUGGUUCUUGAAAAAGUACAUGGGGUUGGACAUCAGAAUCUAGGGGAUAGGUAAGGACCAUCAUGCUGAUUAAGCCCUUCUUCCCUUAAACCACUAGUGUAAUUCCUUAUUCUCAGUUCACUCUAUUCAUUCACUCAUUAGCUUGUUCAAACAACACACAGUUUUUUGACAGUUUUUGUGGGGUCAACACUGUGUUAAGUAUCUAACAUCUAAGAUCCCCAGCAUCGGGGAAACAAAUAUGAAUACAGCAUGGGACCCUGACCCCAAGGGGCACAUAGUCUACUGAGGAAACAAAGGCCAUGAAAGGUGCUAAAACUUGCUUUAGGUCAUGGAAAAAUAGUCCUAGAGCCAAGACUGGGCCCCAAAGGUCCUGAUUCUGAGCCAAAUGAAAACCUCUGGUUUCUUCUCAGAGGAUGUGUUCUACUUCCAACAUCAACAUUGGGCAUUGACUUAUUCUUGGGCAGGUUCAGCCUCUGAGUUUUUCAUCCAGUAUUGAUUAGAGCAGGAUAUAACCCAGCCACCACAGUGUACCAUCCAGUUAUACCCAAAACCCAAUGAGGGAAGAUUCACAAGAGCCUGGAGCACACACAGAGCCUCAGCUAUUUCCAUCAUCACCAUCAUUAGCUUGACUCAGCCUGCAGGUCAGAGCUUUGCUUUAUAUCUUCUAGCACCUGACAGUUUCUACUGUGAACAGAUAGAUCACCCAGCAUCAUGCUGUUCCAAAGCACAACCUCAAGUAACAUUCAUGGCCUGAACCCCAGAACCAACACAAUCCCUAACAGGAAUGGACACCUAAUAGAUCCGGAUGCUUACUAGACUAAGUCCAGGUUCACCCCAAACUUCUGGGAAUCCCAGACCUUUGGGGAAUAAACUGACAGGUGACAUGUCCAGGUGCCAACCCUGC